rnacentral:rRNA from 1 species
UACAGAGGUCUCAAGCGUUGUUCGGAUUCAUUGGGCGUAAAGGGUGCGUAGGUGGCGCUGUAAGUCGGGUGUGAAAUUUCGGAGCUUAACUCCGAAACUGCAUUCGAUACUGCGGUGCUUGAGGACUGGAGAGGAGACUGGAAUUCAUGGUGUAGCAGUGAAAUGCGUAGAGAUCAUGAGGAAGACCAGUGGCGAAGGCGGGUCUCUGGACAGUUCCUGACACUGAGGCCCGAAGGCCAGGGGAGCAAACGGG